GACGAACGCUGGCGGUGUGCUUAACACAUGCAAGUCGAACGGUAAUGCCCUGCUUUUGUGGAGUGCUCGAGUGGCGAACGGGUGAGUAACACGUGAGUAACCUGCCGAUGACUUUGGGAUAACUUCCGGAAUCUCGGGCUAAUACCUGAUACGAGCUCCUGCUGCAAGGAGUGGGUUGGAAAUUUUCGGCGGAUGGGGAUGGACUCGCGGCUUAACAGUUUGUUGGUUGGGUAAUGGGUUACCAAAGCUUUUACGGCUAGCCGGCCUGUGAGGGUGAACGACCACAAUGGGACUGAGAUACGGGCCAGGCUCCUACGGGGGGGAGCAGGGGGGAAUAUUGCACAAUGGGCGGAAACCUGAUGCAACAACGCCGCGUGCGGGAUAACGGCCUUAGGGUGGUAGACAGGUUUCGCCUGUGACUAAGCGUGAGUGACGGGAAUGGGUAAAGAAGCACCGGCUAACUACGUG
rnacentral:rRNA from 1 species